rnacentral:rRNA from 1 species
GUGUCAGCAGCCGCGGUAAUACGGAGGGUGCAAGCGUUAUCCGGAUUCACUGGGUUUAAAGGGAGCGCAGGCGGGCAUGUAAGUCCGUGGUGAAAUACCUCAGCUUAACUGAGGAACUGCCAUGGAUACUAUAUGUCUUGAAUGUUGUGGAGGUUUGCGGAAUAGGUCAUGUAGCGGUGAAAUGCAUAGAUAUGACCUAGAACACCAAUUGCGAAGGCAGCAGGCUACACAAAUAUUGACGCUGAGGCUCGAAAGCGUGGGGAUCAAACAGGAUUAGAUACCCUAGUAGUCC